rnacentral:rRNA from 1 species
CCUACGGGUGGCAGCAGUGAGGAAUCUUGGUCAAUGGACGAGAGUCUGAACCAGCCAAGUCGCGUGAAGGAUGACUGCCCUAUGGGUUGUAAACUUCUUUUAUAAAGGAAUAAAACGAGACACGUGUGCCUUUUUUCCUGUACUUUAUGAAUAAGGAUCGGCUAACUCCGUGUCCGCAGCCGCGGUAAUACGGAGGAUCCGAGCGUUAUCCGGAUUUAUUGGGUUUAAAGGAAGCGUAGCUGGUAUGUGAAGUCAGUUGUGAAAGGUGGCGGAUCAAGCGUUAGAGUGCAAUUGAUACUGGAAGACUUGAGUACAGGUGAGGUAAGCGGAAUUCGUGGUGUAGCGGUGAAAUGCGUAGAUAUCACGAAGAACACCAAUGGCGAAGGCAGCUUACUAAACUGUAACUGACGUUGAGGCGCGAAAGUGUGGGGAGCAAACAGGAUUAGAUACCCGUGUAGUC